UGGGGAAUUUUGGACAAUGGGGGAAACCCUGAUCCAGCCAUCCCGCGUGUGCGAUGAAGGCCUUCGGGUUGUAAAGCACUUUUGGCAGGAAAGAAACGUCAUGGGUUAAUACCCCGUGAAACUGACGGUACCUGCAGAAUAAGCACCGGCUAACUACGUGCCAGCAGCCGCGGUACUACGUAGGGUGCAAGCGUUAAUCGGAAUUACUGGGCGUAAAGCGUGCGCAGGCGGUUCGGAAAGAAAGAUGUGAAAUCCCAGAGCUCAACUUUGGAACUGCAUUUUGAACUACCGGGCUAGAGUGUGUCAGAGGGAGGUGGAAUUCCGGGUGUAGCAGUGAAAUGCGUAGAUAUGCGGAGGAACACCGAUGGCGAAGGCAGCCUCCUGGGAAAACACUGACGCUAAUGCACGAAAGCGUGGGGAGCAAACAGG
rnacentral:rRNA from 1 species